rnacentral:rRNA from 1 species
GACGGAGGAUGCAAGCGUUAUCCGGAAUGAUUGGGCGUAAAGCGUCCGCAGGUGGCAGUUCAAGUCUGCUGUCAAAGACCGGGGCUUAACUUCGGAAAGGCAGUGGAAACUGAACAGCUAGAGUAUGGUAGGGGCAGAGGGAAUUCCUGGUGUAGCGGUGAAAUGCGCAGAUAUCAGGAGGAACACCGAUGGCGAAGGCAGUGUUCUGGGCCAGUACUGACGCUGAGGAGCGAAAGCGUGGGGAGCAAACAGG